rnacentral:rRNA from 1 species
AGUGAACGCUGGCGGUAGGCCUAACACAUGCAAGUCGAACGGCAGCACAGUAAGAGCUUGCUCUUACGGGUGGCGAGUGGCGGACGGGUGAGGAAUACAUCGGAAUCUACUUUUUCGUGGGGGAUAACGUAGGGAAACUUACGCUAAUACCGCAUACGACCUACGGGUGAAAGCAGGGGAUCUUCGGGCCUUGCGCGAUUGAAUGAGCCGAUGUCGGAUUAGCUAGUUGGCGGGGUAAAGGCCCACCAAGGCGACGAUCCGUAGCUGGUCUGAGAGGAUGAUCAGCCACACUGGAACUGAGACACGGUCCAGACUCCUACGGGAGGCAGCAGUGGGGAAUAGUGGACAAUGGGCGCAAGCCUGAUCCAGCCAUACCGCGUGGGUGAAGAAGGCCUUCGGGUUGUAAAGCCCUUUUGUUGGGAAAGAAAAGCAGCAGGUUAAUACCCCGCUGUUCUGACGGUACCCAAAGAAUAAGCACCGGCUAACUUCGUG